rnacentral:rRNA from 1 species
GUGCAGCCGUUCGACAGGACAAGUCAGCGCGCGUGCGCAUAACCGGAGCAAGAGCCUAUGCCGGCGGGGGAGAGACAGAGGAGUGGAAAGUAGAAGGAGAGGAGCGUGUGCGUUGGAAACGGAGGAGAGGAGAGGGAAAGGAGAAGGGGAAGAAGAGGAGCUGUGCUUUCGUUCGAACCGCUAACCCUAAGUUCGCGGUCGCGAGGUUUAGGCCGCCUCCCCACCGCGCGCGGCCGCCGCCGCUAAAGCUAAACACCAUCAGGAGUGGCGACCUCCGCCGACGGGCUAGGUCGGUGGCCACUUGUUUGAGGGCUGGUAGGGAGGAACGGGCGCAGAGAUCGGGCAUGAGCAAAAGCGGUGGUAGGAGCUGCGCAGACCGCAUCCUCCGACCCCCACCAGCACCACCGCCGUGUCUAGGCUCCUUCCUCGCUCACCCUCCUCUUCCGUCGCCACCUCCAAAACUAGAUAGCUGUACCCUCCGCCUCGCUAGACCUGCUCUACUGACCACGUCCAAAGGAGUGGUACGACGCUGGUCGUGGAUGCGUCCACUAACCACAACAACAGGAAAAGCUGUCGCCGUCGCCUGCCGCGACCCGCCGUUCGGGUAGUCACGGGCACACGGGGCUGGCCACGCCUGACGAACGCAUCCCGGUGUUGUCGACGAACGAGUUCGGACGCACACCUGACGGGCACUAGCCGACGGGGCGACGGAUUUUAUAUGCACGGGAAUUCCGAACCACAGGUACCCCUAUCUUUUGACUCAACUAAAGUUCACCAUGGACUUGCAGAUGUGUUCUAAACUGAUUUUGAAGGAGGAUGAUCUAAAGUGUUCUCUCGGAAGAUAAGAGGAAAAAUCUUGACUUAUAUAAACUACACGGCAAGUUAUCGUUACAUCUAUGUGACUGAGACGAAAAAGUGAUAGUUUGUCAGGGUUGUUAUCCUGAGAGACGUUUUAGUUAAGACCACAGAACAUGAGAACAAAUUAACAAAAUAAACUACGCUCGAUUCUAACUAAAGGUCGAGUAGAGGUACCCAAGGGGCUCCACUCCCGCUACGACUCCUCUCUACCGCAGCUCCUGCUGUAGGCUCCCGUAGUAGUGCGAGUACCGAAGCGGCGGUAGCAGUAGCUCAAAAAACCAAAGUGUCGUUUGUCCACACGCUACCCGGCCGUUGGUCACCGCGGUAGAGAUAGGGGCUGUGAUCUAUUAUCGCACCGAUUACCGGACGUGCACCACGCGGACAGACACGGGCACGCGAGUCCGGCCACGCCUGACGCUGAUGCGCAUCCCGGCGGCGUCGACGAACGAGUUCCGCCGCACGCCUGACGGACCUAGAUUCUGCUGUGUAUAGUGUGAAGACGGGCAGUACGAUUAAACCCACGAAAAAACCUCCACACCCUAACCCGUCACCAACCCUUCGUCAGUUACCCACUAAUAGCUUACACAGCCUUGAAGGUUCGUUUAAAGAGAGACACCGAUUUUAUUUAGAAUAAAGGGGAGUUCAGUGAUUUGACGUUACCCAUCAACCAGCCAGCGACAGUUAACUUACACCCUUAACUUUACAGAACGGCAAAAUGUUAAGAACAAAACGAAGUGUUAUAAGAGACAAUUUAUCUGGACAAUCAUAGAUACUUUGAUGAUGCGAACGAAACGAAAUACUUACUUGUGAACAGAGGACGUCAAAAAUG